UUACAUUCAAGGUGUUUUAUAAGAGCCUCGGUGGGGUAUGUGGCACCGUAGGGUACCGGUCCCAUACACUACAGCUCCCGACACUCCGCCUGCGCUUCAUGUAUAUGCAUAAGGCGUUUCUGCAGUGAGCUCCUGGAUAUCGAUGUGUUUUAAGGAGGUGGCUCUGCCUUCCGCCGAGGCUGGCAGCAUCCAAACGCACUCGGCGCUUUAAGCAGCAUCUCGAUGCGGAGGCUGCACGGACAUCCUAAUGGCAACCAGCAAGGGGAGAUGCACUAACCAGACGGCUGGAGCGCAUUCACCCAUGUAUCUCACCUGCUGUUUUCUUUAGCGACAAAGGUUUCCUGAUUUUUUUUUGUUCUCUUAUUUUGGGACGAAUUGUUUUUACAACGGCACAGCUAUGAUGACCGUGAGAUGGGGGAUUUCAUUUUUAUGCGUCUACGGAGCGAUGUGUAUCGUUCAUUCCGACAAUUCGAACCUUCACAUAGGUGACGCCUUGUCAGGAGAGAAGGCUGGCGAGGACGCCGGCGGCGCUUUCGGGAAGGAGAACACCGUUCCUGUGCGGCUAAUUUACAGCAUGGACAACGGCAGUCAGAUCACGAAUGACGUGCUGAGCACCAGGAUAACAGCGAGUCCGGACCCACAACAGAUGACCCACGUGGCUCAUGCAAGCUUUCAGUUGGACGCCUUUGGGGAAACGUUUAUCCUGGAUGUGGAGCUGAACCAUGACCUGCUGUCCUCAAAGUACGUGGAGAGGCACAUCACGCGAGACGGGAGGUCCACCCUCACCCAGGGCGGCGAGCACUGCUAUUACCAGGGCAAAGUUCGAGGGAUCCCGGCAUCCUAUGUGGCGCUCUCCACCUGCCAUGGACUGCAUGGGCUGUUUUUUGAUGGAAACCACACCUACAUCAUCGAGCCAGGAGGAGCGGAUGACAAAGCUGGUGACAUGCAUGUUCAUAUGAUUUACAAGUCGAUGGGUUCCGAGCCGCCGGCGGACAAGCUUCCCGUCGCUGUCCCGGAGAUGCCAGCGUCCUCCGCUCCCAGAACGGUGCUCAGGAGAAGGAAGAGACAGGUAUCGAGGCUUUCGCGCCGGGUUGAAGAUGAGACCAAGUAUAUAGAGCUUAUGGUUAUCAACGAUCACCUGAUGUAUAAGAAGCAUCGGCUUUCUGUUGGACAGACAAAUAACUACGCCAAGUCCGUCGUGAACAUGGCUGAUAUAAUAUUCAAAGAGCAGCUGAAAACGCGGAUCGUCCUAGUGGCGAUGGAGACCUGGGCUGCCGAAAACCGCUUCAACAUCAAUGACGACCCGCUGGUCACCUUGCGCGAAUUCAUGAAGUACCGGCGCGACUUCAUCAAGGAGAAGUGCGACUCGGUGCACCUGUUCUCGGGGAGCCGCUUCCACAGCAGCCGGGGAGGAGCAUCUUACCUGGGAGGCGUGUGUUCGCUGACGAAAGGGGGAGGAGUCAACGAGUAUGGGAAAGCAGAUGAAAUGGCAAUCACACUGGCACAGUCUCUGGGACAAAACAUUGGCAUAUUUUCAGACAAGAAAAGGAUCAUGAGCGGGGAGUGCAAGUGUGACAACAAGUGGUCUGGAUGCAUAAUGGACGACGUUGGCUUCUACUUGCCCAAGCGCUUCUCGGACUGUAACAUCGAGGAGUACCACAACUUCCUGAACAGCGGUGGCGGUGCCUGCCUGUUCAACAAGCCGUCCAAGCUGCUGGACCCCCCCGAGUGUGGCAAUGGGUUCGUGGAGCCGGGCGAGGAGUGUGAUUGCGGCAGCCCAGCGGAGUGCCAGAAGGAGGGAGAAAAUUGCUGUAAGAAGUGCACCCUGACCCAGGGCUCGAAGUGCAGCGACGGGCUGUGCUGUAAGAACUGUCAGCUGGAGUUCAUGGGCGUGAUCUGCCGUGAUGCUGUGAACGACUGCGACAUCCCAGAGAUCUGCACCGGAAACUCUAGCCAGUGUCCACCGAACGUCCACAAAAUGGACGGGUACACCUGUGAGAAAGACCAGGGUCGCUGCUUCAACGGAAAGUGCAAAACCCGGGACAGACAGUGUAAAUACAUCUGGGGAGAGAAAGCAACUUCUGCUGACAAGUUCUGCUACGAGAAGCUGAACAUCGAGGGGACAGAGAAGGGGAACUGCGGCAGGGACAAGGACACCUGGAUCCAGUGCAACAAGCAGGACGUGCAGUGCGGCUACCUCCUGUGCUCCAACAUCGCCCCCACGCCUCGGCUGGGGGAGUUGCAGGGGGGCCUCACCUCCUUCUCCGUGGCCCAGCACAGUGCCUCCCUGGACUGCAGCGGGGGUCACGUGAUUAUCGACGGGGACACGGACCUGGGCUACGUGGAAGACGGGACGGCCUGCGCCACCGACCGCAUCUGCUUCGAGCACCGCUGCCUCCCGGUACAGGAGUUCAACUUCAGCACCUGCCCGGGCACCAACGACAGGACCAUCUGCUCCGGGCACGGGGUGUGCAGUAACGAGCUGAAGUGUGUGUGCUACCUGGGCUGGACUGGGGACGACUGCAACGCCACCUUGCCUCUCAGCUCCCUGGUCGUGGGCCCAACAGCUUCAGCUUCUGGAGUCAUCAGCACAAACAUCAUCAUCGGGGUGAUCGCGGGCACCGUCCUGGUGCUGGCGCUCGUCAUGGGCAUCACAGCCUGGGGAUAUAAGAAUUACCGGCAGCGGAGGUACGAGGAGUCCGAGGUGCACAGAAGAUUCUGCCGGCAAACCCCCCCCGGGGAUUAUGUUAAAAAGGCGGGAGACGCGGACUCCUUCUACAGCGACAUGCCUCCUGGCGUCAGCUCCAACUCGGCCAGUAGCUCAAAGAAGAGGUCGGCUUGUCUGUCCCACUUGCAGAUCUAUACCUGCUCCUUCACACCAUCUGUUCCCUCCAUUAGUCAGAACAUCUCAUUGUUUGGCUUCAGGUGGGCGGCUCCCUUCCGACCUCCCACCUCCCAUUGGCUGGUCGCCGAGCGCCCUUUUCCUCGCCCCGGGUUGGCUGCCGUCACAAGACUUUCGUACCUCUUAAGAAUGGGUUUUUCCUCAAUGCAGGAAUAUCACAGCUCCUCUUCAGUGCCGAAAGGAAGCACCCAUAAAGAUUGGCCGCUUUGCCAUAGGGGUGGGGGGCAGGUUCAGGGGGGCGAAGAGAAGGGCCGGCCAUGCUUCUAACGAUGUGUUUGUGUUGUGUGUUGGAACCGUGGCUGAUGUUUCCGCAGCGACGUCUCCCCAAAACGCCACGGCGACGAAAACCCUGUCCUCCCGGUCCUGGGUUCACAGCCGUAGUGGUCAGGGGCUCACGGACAAUGAGUCGCUCCAGAAAUGAGAGAAUGCCAACUGUAGCCAAACACACAAACUCGACAUCGCACCUGAGAAGCACCGGCUCGGAAGCCCCUGUAACAGGAGGAAGCCCAGCCGCUUGUGUCUGCCAGGCAGAAUGAUCAGCAGUCUGGAGUCAGUUCAGGCCAAUCAGUUUGGGCUGCAGUGCAGUUUGAUGUUAAAGGCCAAACCAGACUCCCUCAUGUACAUACAUGCACACACAGACAUAUACAAGAACAUACAAGAAAAGUCCUCAUUCCAACAGCCCAGCAUGUCCCAUCAGGAGGUUAACGAUGUGCCAAUUUGUUGCCUGGAGAGUGACACUCAUGGAGACCAGCCUGCUGGCAGACUGCUGCUGGUUUGGACAAGCUGUUUGUACAGGUCAGCCCACAAAAUGGACCAAUCAGGAUGUGCUGUUCAUACAGGUCAGCCCAUAAGCGGACCAAUUGGGAUGUGCCGUUCACACAGGUCAACCUACUUGUGGGCCAAUCAGGAUGAACUGCUCAUACAGUUCAUCUAAGCUUGGCUGCUUUGCUCAUUUCAGCUGUCAUGCUGAUCGCUCUGUGUUUUCAUGCUAACGGCUCAUCUUGCUCUCUCUGUAUUGUUUCCAUCUCAUCUCCGUUGUCCAUGACAUCACUGUGUGUGUAUGUACAUGAGUUCUCCUGUAUAUCUGUACUGUGUGUGUAGGUAACAGAGGGAUGCACAGUAAAUAAAGUGUUUUCAGGUAAGUCAUUAAGGCACUACAGGCCAGAUAAUGAUAUACUGCAGAUGCAUAACUGACUUCAUCUAGCAUAAAACUGACAAGAAAAAUGGGUUUGUAUCUCCAAAAAUCAACAACAAAGUUUAGCUUUCUGCAUAUCACAGGGAAAAUUGUCACAGAAAUGUAAAAAAUCCAUGGAGCAAUUAGUAGUUGCCUUUAUAUUUUCACGUUUUUUGGCUGAAGGUCAAACGGCUUGUCCCAUUCGUGGAGUGAGCGAAUUCCAGAUGCCAAGCACAUCUCAGACGUCUGUGAAAACGGACGACCCAGAAGUAACUCUUGGCAAGGAAAUGUAGGGGGCAACCGUAAGAAGAUGAAGGGAAGAAAAUUUCGCC